AAGUAGCUCAGGCAGGGAAAGCAGU
rnacentral:piRNA from 1 species